rnacentral:rRNA from 1 species
GUUUGAUCCUGGCUCAGGAUGAACGCUAGCGGCAGGCUUAAUACAUGCAAGUCGAGGGGCAGCGGGGGUAGCAAUACCUGCCGGCGACCGGCAAACGGGUGCGGAACACGUACAGAACCUUCCUUUAAGCGGGGGAUAGCCCAUAGAAAUGUGGAUUAAUACCCCAUAGUAAUGUUGUCUGGCAUCAGAUGAUAUUUAAAGAUUUAUCACUUAAAGAUGGCUGUGCGGCUGAUUAGGUAGUUGGUCGGGGUAACGGCCCACCAAGCCAUCGAUCAGUAACUGGUGUGAGAGCACGACCAGUCACACGGGCACUGAGACACGGGCCCGUCGGACGACCGGACACACUGGGACUAGAUACGGCCCGGACUCCUACGGGAGGCAGCAGUAAGGAAUAUUGGUCAAUGGACGCAAGUCUGAACCAGCCAUGCCGCGUGAAGGAUGAAGGCCCUCUGGGUUGUAAACUUCUUUUAUCUGGGAAGAAACCACUUUUUUUUAAGGGUGUUGACGGUACCAGAGGAAUAAGCACCGGCUAACUCCGUGCCAGCAGCCCGCGGUAAUACGGAGGGUGCAAGCGUUAUCCGGAUUCACUGGGUUUAAAGGGUGCGUAGGUGGGAAUGUAAGUCAGUGGUGAAAUCUCCGUGCUUAACAUGGAAACUGCCAUUGAUACUAUGUUUCUUGAAUUUUCUGGAGGUAAGCGGAAUAUGUCAUGUAGCGGUGAAAUGCUUAGAUAUGACAUAGAACACCAAUUGCGAAGGCAGCUUGCUACAGGGAUAUUGACACUGAGGCACGAAAGCGUGGGGAGCAAACAGGAUUAGAUACCCUGGUAGUCCACGCCGUAAACGAUGGAUACUCGACAUUUGUGAUACACAAUAAGUGUCUGAGCGAAAGCAUUAAGUAUCCCACCUGGGAAGUACGACCGCAAGGUUGAAACUCAAAGGAAUUGACGGGGGCCCGCACAAGCGGCGGAGCAUGUUGUUUUAAUUCGA